rnacentral:lncRNA from 1 species
CCGGGGGCGAGCGGCGUCGGAACAGGGCUGCGCCCCCUUUGCCGAGCCCCGCGCGCCCCUCUCAAGGCGCCGGGAGCGGCCGCCCUGUGCCGGAGAAUCCCGGCGGGGCGGCGGAGCGGGGCCCUGGCUCUGCCCGCCCCUCCCGCCGCCUCCUUGGAAUGUCAAGCGAGCCGUCCCCGCCCCGCCGCCUCCCCGUGCUUCCCCGCCGUCUCCACUCCCGCACAAGCUCCCGCCUCCCGGCCCCGCUCCGCUGCGGGGAAAUGCAGGAGCACACGGAAGCAUCGGGGCAGAACCGGCGCUGGAGGUGCCCGAGGAGUCUCCCCGGCCGCAGGAGCAGCGGUGCCCGAGCCGUGAGCUGACGGGUGCGCAGCAUGGGCGGCUGCGGCCCCUCUGCCUCGCUGCGUUCCGGUGCCGCGCUGCUGCGGGAGGGAGGAGCGAGAGCUCCGAAGCCCUGAGCAGAGCGCUGGGGAAUGGGAGGCGAGGAAGGCUUGGGCUAAGGAUGGAUUGAAACCGGGCUGCCUGUUCGUGCACAAAGAGGCGUUUGUCAUCCACGCUGCCAAAACGAACACCUGGUACAUCCUAGGUCUGCCUCGUGUUUCGUGUGUUUUUAUUUCCUGUUUAUGUCAUCCUAAAAAGCAAGGACGGAGCAAAUGCGACUGGUUCCCACUGUUGCUGUGUGAAGGCUUUUUACAGGCUCUGCUGUAUUANNNNNNNNNNACCCUCAAGUUUGCUGAAUUAGGGCACUUCCCUGUAUGAGCCGUGGAAUGUCCUGGAAGCUGAUCGAUGCCUUCGUGCUCCUGCUGUGUUCCUUUGGGCUGUGCUUCAGCCUUCUCUCCCUGGGCUCUUGCAGUUGCUGCAUCUCUUGGAUGCCGUGCAGAACGGAAUCGGGCAGCCCAGCCUCAGGUUCACCUUCUCCCUGACCCUCUACGCUGCUGGUAUGGCACAGCAGAUCCUGAAGCCAGAGGAGCACGUGUACAUAAAGGUAAAGAGAUUCCUUCUGUCACACCAGUAUUUGGACCUGAGGAAGGUACCGGGGUUUUUCCAGCUUUUCUACAGUUUUGA